GAUGAACGCUGGCGGCGUGCCUAAUACAUGCAAGUCGAGCGAACGGACGAGAAUCUUGCUUCUCUGCUGUUAGCGGCGGACGGGUAAUUCCCACGUGGAUAACCUACCUAUAAGACUGAGAUAACUUCAGGAAACCGGAGCUAAUAUCGGAUAUUAUUUUGAACCUCAUGGUUCAAAAGUGAAAGACGGUCUUGCUGUCCCUUAUAGAUGGAUCCGCGUUGCAUUAGCUAGUUGGUAAGGUAACGGCUUACCAAGGCAACGAUGCGUAACCGACCUGAGAGGGUGAUCAGCCACACUGGAAUUGAGACACGGUCCAGACUCCUACGGGAGGCAGCAGUGGGGAAUCUUCGGCAAUGGGCGAAAGCCUGACGGAGCAACGCCGCGUGAGUGAUGAAGGUCUUCGGAUAGUAAAACACUGGUAUUAGGGAGGAAGAGAAGUAUAAGUAUAUGUGCACAUCUUGACGUUACCUAGAGAGUAAGCCCCGGCUAACUUCGUG
rnacentral:rRNA from 1 species